CUCCGAGUGCCCGAAUAGAAAGGGACCCGUUUUCUAAACGGAAGGAUGCAGGUGCGAGUCCUGCCUCGGAGACCA
rnacentral:tRNA from 1 species